GUAGGUGGCAAGCGUUGUCCGGAAUUAUUGGGCGUAAAGCGCGCGCAGGCGGUCCUUUAAGUCUGAUGUGAAAGCCCACGGCUCAACCGUGGAGGGUCAUUGGAAACUGGGGGACUUGAGUACAGAAGAGGAAAGCGGAUUUCCAAGUGUAGCGGUGAAAUGCGUAGAGAUUUGGAGGAACACCAGUGGCGAAGGCGGCUUUCUGGUCUGUAACUGACGCUGAGGCGCGAAAGCGUGGGGAGCAAACAGGAUUAGAUACCCUGGUAGUCCACGCCGUAAACGAUGAGUGCUAAGUGUUAGGGGGUUUCCCGCCCCCCUUAGUGCUGCAGCUAACGCAUUAAGCACUCCGCCUGGGGAGUACGGCCGCAAGGCUG
rnacentral:rRNA from 1 species